GUCUAUGCCCAUACCACAUUGAACAUGCCCAAGUGUUGUCUUAUCUUGGAAGCUAAGGAAAGUCAGGCCUGGUUGGUACUUGGAAGGAUAAAAUAUGUCUGGUAAGAUAAGGUGGUUCAGUUU
ensembl:rRNA 5S_rRNA 5S ribosomal RNA